ensembl:lincRNA C030007H22Rik RIKEN cDNA C030007H22 gene
GGGGUCAGGCCAUGGGAGCAGUAGACGCAGCAGAGACCCUGUGAAGCAUGCUGGCAAGAAGCAAGCAUUGACAGGCUACACGACACUACCAUCCUGCAAGCCGGAGGCAGACAGCCCCCAGCCCAGUGGACUACUCUCAUGCUGUAUGGGAUGCUGGUCUUGCACCCCUUCCAGGAUGCUCAAACAUUGCCCCUCUUGGUGGAUUAUGUUUAAGAGGAAAGAGCACUGGGAUUACAGAUUUGCAGUGCUGUGAGUCCUAGGGAUUCCAACUCAGGCCCGCAGGCUUGCAAUGACAAGUCCCUGUUCUUGUUCAAUCCUUGGAAGGCUCUGGGACCAGAAGCAAAUAACACAGAAAUACAGCAUGGAUGACUACAAGGAUUCCAGGGUUUUCUUCCAUGAUGACUGGCUAUGGAUCAAGGACAUAGGCACUUGACUCAGUCUGCUGUAGGAAGUCUAUGGGGCACCUAAAUGAAGAGUGGUCAUACUGUGGGAGUGCAGGUCUACAGCCUUGGAAAAAGAGGUAAGAGAGUGAGGGACGAAAUUAGUAAUCUCUCAAAUAUGCCCAACAUUAAAAAUUAACCAUAGCAAAAA